GUAGGUGAACCUGCGGAAGGAUCAUUACCUAGAGUUGUAGGCUUUGCCUGCUAUCUCUUACCCAUGUCUUUUAAGUACCUUCGUUUCCUCGGCGGGCUCGCCCGCCGAUUGGACAAUUUAAACCAUUUGCAGUUGCAAUCAGCGUCUGAAAAAACUUAAUAGUUACAACUUUCAACAACGGAUCUCUUGGUUCUGGCAUCGAUGAAGAACGCAGCAUCUGACUGACUUCAGGUUGCGGAAUCUCGUAUGC
rnacentral:misc_RNA from 1 species